AGAACUUUAACAAAACACUUUGCAUAGAAAGAUAGCAUUUAGUGGUACUGAGGAGUACUGUGGGGGCUAGAUGGUUUUAUUGUCAUCAUUCAAUUGCUUAGUUAUUUGCACAUCUUCCUAUAGAAGGCAUCGGAUAUAUGGGAAGGAAAAAUGCUUCUCAUCUCAACUGUAAUGAUCUUACAUUAAAAAAAGUUAUUCAGUACUGAAUUUGAGAGCAUUUUCAAAUAAAAGGUUUGGAACAUAAAAAAAAAAACAAAAAAAAAAACACACAACUGGAGAUCGAUAGUAUUUUAUUUAUGGUUUUACAUCAAGUAUGGCCAGCACUGAAGCCUGCUUCCAAGGGUCCAAACACACUGCAUUUUACCUAAAGAGAAAAAUAAAUUAAUUGCACAAUAUUAUGUGGUUUGAGCAUGUACCGUAUGUUUUUUUACACAACUA